rnacentral:rRNA from 1 species
GAUGAACGCUGGCGGCGUGCCUAAUACAUGCAAGUCGAGCGAACAGACGAGGAGCUUGCUCCUCUGACGUUAGCGGCGGACGGGUGAGUAACACGUGGAUAACCUACCUAUAAGACUGGGAUAACUUCGGGAAACCGGAGCUAAUACCGGAUAAUAUAUUGAACCGCAUGGUUCAAUAGUGAAAGACGGUUUUGCUGUCACUUAUAGAUGGAUCCGCGCCGCAUUAGCUAGUUGGUAAGGUAACGGCUUACCAAGGCAACGAUGCGUAGCCGACCUGAGAGGGUGAUCGGCCACACUGGAACUGAGACACGGUCCAGACUCCUACGGGAGGCAGCAGUAGGGAAUCUUCCGCAAUGGGCGAAAGCCUGACGGAGCAACGCCGCGUGAGUGAUGAAGGCCUUCGGAUCGUAAAACUCUGUUAUUAGGGAAGAACAAAUGUGUAAGUAACUAUGCACGUCUUGACGGUACCGAAUCAGAAAGCAACGGCUAACUACGUG